rnacentral:rRNA from 1 species
AGAACGAACGCUGGCGGCAUGCCUAAUACAUGCAAGUCGAACGAAGGCUUCGGCCUUAGUGGCGCACGGGUGCGUAACGCGUGGGAAUCUGCCCCUUGGUUCGGAAUAACAGUUGGAAACGACUGCUAAUACCGGAUGAUGACGAAAGUCCAAAGAUUUAUCGCCAAGGGAUGAGCCCGCGUAGGAUUAGCUUGUUGGUGAGGUAAGAGCUCACCAAGGCGACGAUCCUUAGCUGGUCUGAGAGGAUGAUCAGCCACACUGGGACUGAGACACGGCCCAGACUCCUACGGGAGGCAGCAGUGGGGGAAUAUUGGACAAUGGGCGAAAGCCUGAUCCAGCAAUGCCGCGUGAGUGAUGAAGGCCUUAGGGUUGUAAAGCUCUUUUACCCGGGAUGAUAAUGACGAGUACCGGAGAAUAAGCUCCGGCUAACUCCGCGCCAGCAGCCGC